AAAACUGUAUACUUUACAGUUGAGUAUAUGAAAUGUGUGGCAUCCCUAAACAGGGUGUAAAACGUGAGCAUUUUAUACUUGUAUAUAAAUCCCAUCUGUCUAUAUCCUGAUAUCCUCCAGUUGCAACUGGUAUUUAGUAGACACUGCUUUUUUUAACGUUCUAAUUAGUAUACUCAAGUUGAUCAGAAAUGUAUUAAAGCUGAUGUCUAUGCUUACCUUUAUUCAGAGAAUUGCCUAAUGAUAAUGGAUCUGUAAGACUACAACCUUCUCUUCCCUCAAAUUUCUUCUAAAGAUCCACCUCUUCCAUGAUGUCUAUAAGAAAUCAGACAACUAAUGAUGCUCAAAAGAUGCAUGUGAUUAAAUAUUCUGCAUAAAUACUGGAGAUGGAGAAUAGUGCUAUUUCAUACGGCUGACAGAACUCCUUGACUACAGGACAGGACUAGUGAAUAGAUAAAUGUAUUCAAUACGAUGGAGAAGAGAACCGAGCCUCUGGCACUCUAUAAAUGGAGAUCCCAGGAAUGGAAGAAUAUUUAUCCUUAAUGACUUUCUGUGUGGUCUGAGGAAAAUGACUUGACUGUUCAGGGAUUUCAUUCAAGCUCUGCAGCUUUCUGGAGGUCAGACAGGAAUAACUGGUCAACGGUAUCAAAUGCUGCAGAGAUGCAUCUCGCGAUGGUAAAGACAAAUGGAUAUUUAUUGUCUAUGGACAUAAGAAGGCUGUUAGUUAGAGCAAUAAAGGCUCUUACUGUGUCGAGUA